AAAGAGCAUAUAUUACUUUCCUGGUUCGCUCCCGAUGUUGGUUUUAUGCCCACCCCUUUUCAAUCUGCCCAUGUCUGAGAUGCACAGUGCAGGCGUACAAUCAUGAGCAGCUUACGACACUCAGUGAACACUGGGUGCCUCUGCAUGCUCUAGCAACAUACUGCUCAGCUGAAGGGAAGGGAUUCUUGCUGUCUCUCUCUGCUCUAAGCAUCACCUAACAAGCAAAGCGAACAAAGAAUGGGAAAUAAAGCGACCCUUAACCGGUCAGUGAAUGAAUGGUAACCUCUCUCUGGAGUAAAGGUUGUGCCGGUCAAUGGUCGUUGCAAAUGACGGACAUUAAACAGAUUGACAAAUCCUGUGGAGUCGUUAGUAAAGAGUUUGGAGUUUUUUUCACGCCACAGUGUUAACUGCAGAGGAAAGGACAGAGGGAGAAGGAGAAGAUCAAGCUCAUGUACAUAGUUCUGAAACUUGCAGGUCCUAGGAGGCAGCUCAAAAGCUAGCUGGACAAGCCUUUCGCUCGUUGAGCAGAAGCGAAGUGAGACAUUGUGAGCUUGCCAGCCUUGCACAACAUUGAAAGGGACUGAAUUUGUAGCACAGAGGGGUCUUUUUUAGCUCUGCAUAUAAUUAGUCCAAACACAAAGGAAGCAACUGAAUGGAGGUUGUCACUCUCUGGAAAAGGACACAGUAACUACCACCAGGAAGAUGUCUUUCAGCACGGGUGCUAUGGGAACGUGACCAAUUCCCUCCCAUUUCUGAGCUAACAAAGACUCAAUCCAAGAUUUCAAAGGUGAUAGGUAAGUAGAAAAAUCUACUUCAUCACUGAAUUAUCAUUUUUAGCGCAGCAGACUUCUCUGGCUGACGUGGCCAGACACUAAACACAGUCAUUCUUUUAUUAUCAACUUUAUCCUGGCCCUUUUUGCUGCCGUGCCUGUCCCCUGAUCACAAAACAGACCACGGCACCAGAGGGAGGGCUAAAAAUUGUAUUUUCAGUAAAGUCUCAAUGUAAAAAAAUAUGCAUGGGCACAUCAAAUUGAUUUAAGGGCUGAUCUAGUGAAGGCAAUGCAGCUUCUAUACACAAAUCUCCCUGUAGUAGCACACCUCUGUACCCUAGUGGUUACAGUAAGGUAUAAGCAAACAUCCUCUGAUAGCUGGGGGACUCCAACUGAAAACAGAUUUCUGAACACCUUUUAAAAUAUACACUUUCUAACUUUUAUCCCUUCUCACCCAUUCUCCCAUCUCUCAUUCCCAGAACCUCACAGGCAGGGUGAAUCAAAAGCAAGAGGGGCAGGAAGAAGAGGAAAACCCUGAAAAGCCCAAACUAAGCUGCAAGAACAGUCCACAGCUACUGAAUUCCAGAGGUUUUGGUGCUUUUCACAACUGUCAGCCCUUUGAAACACAUCUGCUAUCAACCCUCUUUGCAAGAUGAGAGGCAAAGUGAGUUCCCAGGAGUAAACCUGGAUCUGUCUCCAUGGUUCAGUGCCUGUCUGACAGCCUGACUUGCUAAGAGAGCCUGGUAAAUAUUAAAGAAUGUUAAUAAUAAUGAGAUAAACCA